rnacentral:misc_RNA from 1 species
CUUGAAGUUCUCUUUAAAUUAAUGGUGAAUGAAACAAUAAAAAAUUUGCACUAUGUUUUGUAACUAGUAACCAAUGAAACAAUAAACAAUUUGCAGUGUUUUGUAACUAGUAACCACUAUUUAAAUCAUUGCUUAUAUGCAUUUCAUGUGAACAACUUGUUUGUAUUUGCAAAUUUCUUUCCUGUAUGCUGCAUAAAUGAAGUGCGUAUUAUUGGAGAGAUGAACAUUUUGAUUGAAUAUAUUCUUGUAAAAUAUAAUUUCAUGUUAGUUGUCUGCGGGUAGACUGAAAAUAUACAAUUAGAUUCCUGGUAUGUGUGAUAUCAUCCUGUAGUGUAGCAUCCACUUCGCCUUUAGGAGUUCCAUCUGGUUAUAAAGAAUAAGGCCUUGGAUGUAGUGAAUCCUUCCUUCCCAUUCCUUAAUUGUUUGGUAAACAUAGAAUGAAGGCAAUCUGAAUGAGCAAUUGGCAGUGAAAAGAACUUUACUCAAUUUUAUUACUAGAUGGGAUUCAGGUGAAAACGAGCGGUGAUGCUAUCGUGCUACUAAGACGGUAGCUCUUAGAACACCUUGUGAUAUCAAGAAACA